AUUAUAAAAGUUAUUGUAUUAUUUUAUUAAUGUUCCUAAUUUUUUAGUUUUAACAAGUAACCCGGUUUCCGGUCCCAGUACUGUACCGGAUAUACAUAUAUUCUGCUGGAACUUCCGGUUCCGGAACCUUUCCUCCCAGCGGCUCUCGGUUUUGAUCGCUCCCGGUCCGAUAGUGCCGCUACCGGUUCCGUUGCCACGCUUACUUUGGCAAGGCAACAAAGGGAACAGAAGCAUCAACCUGGUUAACUGAGAAGCACUAACCUUAAGGAAGAUGCUAUGGGCAUCAAGAAUCUGUGGCUGCACAAGAAGUCUCCUACAAAUAUGGCUAUGGAGGUUCAUCAUGGAGGUUUUUAGCACUAAGGAGAAAUUUCAUCUCACAGAAAUAUGGAAUGGAUUACAAAAGAAGUCAAAAGCCCUUAUGGUUGUGGUGUCUGAUAACCCUUCGCAAUCAGUUGUCAGUUUUUUGGGACAAAGUAGAGAUCACAGUGGGUAAUGAAAGAAAGACUGAAUUUCUGGAGGAUCAAUGGAUUGGUGGUCCCUGUUUGUAGUCCACCACCCCUGUUCUAUAUAUAUUAAGUCCCCAAAAACAUGUUUAGAUAGAUCAAGUCUGAAGUGUACAAGGUUGGGACUAACUUUCAGUGACUGGGAAUUUGGAAGUCUUACCUCAAUGCUUCAGCCCAUUGAUACUUUUUGAGGAAUUACUGAGAACAUAGACCAAUUAAAAUGGAGGUUGGACAGGAAAGGAGAAUUUUCAGUCUACUCUCUCUACUACAACAUGAACCACACAAGUCAUUAAAAUGUGUGUUGGCCUUGGAAGCUUAUUUGGAAAGUCAAGGUUCUACCAAAGGUAUCAUGUUUUGUUUGGUUGGUGAUGAGGAAAGUACACGUAACUCAAGAUAAGUUGCAAAAAAGAGGUCUUCAGAUUUGUUAAGAUGUCUCUAUUAUGUGGACACAAAGGAAGAAGUAAUGAGCACCUUUUCCUUCAUUGCAAGACAACUACAAUUUUGUGGCCACAUGUCCUUUAGUAUAUUGAGGAUAAAAUUGAUCAUGACCAAGUCUACGUUGGAGCUUCUGCGAAACUGGAAGAAUGUGAGGAGAAGCAGCGCCGAAGAGGAGUGGUGCAGGUCAUUCCUGGUGGACAUUUUGGAAAGAGAGGAACUCUAGGCAUUUUGAAGACACUAGUAAAUCUACCUAGAAUAAAAGGUGACAAUUGCUCGAGUAUACAAUUGGGAUGUGCAGCAACGUAAGUUUCGACAAGCUGCCAGUCCAAAAGAGUCGUGAUCAAAAUCUGUGUAUGUGGUACUCACUUUUGCUGCAAAGAGUACGAGUUAGAUCUUUGUUUAUCGUUUUAGGUUUGCUUGUUUUGCACUCUCCGCAAGCAGGAUCCUGGAUUAUUAUUCAGACCAUCAGUUGUUGGGCUUGUAGCAAUUUUGUAAGAAAACAAAUAUUUAUUGGUGAGUCUGUGUAUUUACUAGAUAGUUAGGAGCAAAAGUAAAGUAUAAUAAUACAAUCUGUCUUUAAAAAAAAAGAAAGUGAAAUGAUACAAUUGUACCAAAGAUUGAUAAAUUGUGGUAUCACCAUGUUAUAUUGUUCCUAUAGGGGGCUUGUCUCUAGUCAUUGUACUCUAAAGAAAUGAAUGAAUAGCUCCAGUUUUUCUGA